rnacentral:tRNA from 1 species
GGAGAGGUGGCAGAGUGGUCGAUUGUACCUGACUCGAAAUCAGGCGUGCCCGCAAGGGUACCGGGGGUUCGAAUCCCUCCCUCUCCGCCA